AGUGAACGCUGGCGGUAGGCCUAACACAUGCAAGUCGAACGGCAGCACAGUAAGAGCUUGCUCUUACGGGUGGCGAGUGGCGGACGGGUGAGGAAUACAUCGGAAUCUACUUUUUCGUGGGGGAUAACGUAGGGAAACUUACGCUAAUACCGCAUACGACCUACGGGUGAAAGCAGGGGAUCUUCGGACCUUGCGCGAUUGAAUGAGCCGAUGUCGGAUUAGCUAGUUGGCGGGGUAAAGGCCCACCAAGGCGACGAUCCGUAGCUGGUCUGAGAGGAUGAUCAGCCACACUGGAACUGAGACACGGUCCAGACUCCUACGGGAGGCAGCAGUCGGGAAUAUUGGACAAUGGGCGCAAGCCUGAUCCAGCCAUACCGCGUGGAUGAAGAAGGCCUUCGGAUUGUAAAACCCUUUUGUUGGGAAAGAAAAGCAGCAGGUUAAUACCCCGCUGUUCUGACGGUACCCAAAGAAUAAGCACCGGCUAACUUCGUG
rnacentral:rRNA from 1 species